GCUUUGUCUCUCUCUCCCUCCCCUUCACCUUCAAUGGUGCUGAUUGACCAAGCAAGACAGAGAUCUUGUGUCCUUGCCUGAGUUUGUGGGCGUUGCCUGAACUGUCAAUGCCUUAAUUCCUUUUACUGUUUAGUAUGUUUUUGUUAUGAAGUUUUAUUGUUUUCUUAGGAUGUCCUGUUUACCCUUUUCCUAAGUGAAUUAGAUAAAGAUUAUUACAGUAUUUAUAUUUCAUCUCAAAUCUUUAUUUUUCCAACAAAGGCUUGUAAGACAAAACACAUCUCUUUUGCAAAGAUCUUCAGAACCAGGGAAAAUGUCAGGAUGGUAGAAUUAAGUUCCCCUGCACCAGAGGAGAGACAGCCAGUGAGUCAUAUGAGUGCAGCCCAAUUGUCAAACAUGAACAUAAUCAGCUAUGGAACAGAAGCCAGAGUGAGAAACCUUAUUGGUAAAUGCUCCUCCAAAUGUUGAAAAUCACAUUAAUGGAGCUUGUUAAUUCAACACAAGAUGCUUUGCAUUGACAAGAUUUUUAAAUGUUGACUAAAAGUAUUGAUGAAAAUCAUAGAUAUUAUUCCUAAUGAUCUUUCCACAGCAAGUGUAUAUGAGAAAAAUAAAACUUAGUUUCUUUUAUUAAAAGCCCUGUGG
rnacentral:lncRNA from 1 species